CAACCGGUUCGCUCAAAAGUCAAUAGGGAAAGCGCCAAAAGAGGGAGAGUGAGUUUAGGGCCAUAGCCAAUAGCUCCACUACUUCCUCCUCGAAUGUUCUUCCCAUUUCUGUUUCUUUAAUUUCAUGAUGAACCCAAUAAUAGGGAAGCAUUCUUUUUCAGAUGUCUUUUCUUCUCUCUGUCUGUGGUGGCAAUGUCACUAUGAGAGCAGGAUUUAUGUAACUCAGAAUGUAGUACUCUCAUACAGUCAACUUUGAUCCUAAGGAGCUACAUCUGCAAUAGAACAGUUCAAUUGUAAUGGAUAACAACAUUGCUGAAAAUCCAUCUCCAACUCGAGCCAAAUGGAGAAAAGUGGCAUAUGGAGGGAUGCAACCUGGGUUUGAUGACAAUCACACUGAUGAUUCUUUUCUUGAAGGUAUGGUCAUGAAUGCCAAUGUUGUAAAGAGGGACAUGUUAAAAGUGAUGCAAGACUCGGUUUCUAUCUCUCAAUAUCCAUGCAUUGUUGUUCUUGUCGGUUUGGUUUGGAACUAUACCCUUAGAUCAACUCUUGAUGAAACUUCCCUUUUGUAUCUAGAUGUGAGCCUUCUUGGAUCAGUUUUUCUAGUUCUCCUUCUAACCAAAGAAAUGCUUUCCGUUGAUCUUCUCUUGCAUUAUUUACUCAAUGUUUUCUUUUUUACAACUGGGCUAUAUGUUUUGGCUCCCAUCUACCAAACUCUUAACAAGAUCCAUUAACUCAGACUCCAUUUGGGCAGUAACUGUUUCACUUCUCAUCCUUCAUCUAUUCCUUCAUGACUAUUCAGGAUCAACCGGAGAGCUCCUGGGGCUCUGAAAAAUCCAACCUUGACGAGUUUUAUAUCUUUAAAUGUUUCUGUAGUAGCAUCAGUUUUCAUUGCUUCUCGCCUUCCAUCAAGGCUACAUGUUUUUGCCGUCAUGCUAUUCUCAUUACAAGUCUUCCUUUUUGCUCCACUGGUCACUUACUGUAUCAAGAAGUAUUCCUUCCACUUGCACCUUUGCUUUUCUUUCAGUUUGAUGGCCGUGACGUUGGCUUUUGUUUAUACACUACACCGGCUACUUUUUGUUCUGUUGCUGGGUUUAUUGGUUUUCGUGACUGUGGUGUGUCCUUAUUGGCUUAUACGGAUGCAAGAAUACAAGUUUGAGAUCAAUGGCCCUUGGGAUGAGGCUAACUGGCUAAGCUUUGUUUUGAUAUUACAGAUUAAGAUCAAUAGUGCCAACCAUUAGCGUUUGAUGGGAGUUUUUGGAAGAUUAAUUGUAGAACCAAAUGGUUUAAUGACUUAUCCUUGUCUCUUCUCUCCAUUUCAAGUUUUACUAUCAGAUAUGGUCAAACACUUUCCCAAUAUCAAUUUUUGGAAGGUGAAUCAGAUUCAAUGGGACAUAGUCUUUUAUAGAGCCCUUCAUGACUGGGAGCAUGGAUUGAUGGAAGACUUCCUUAAUCUAAUUCAUUCCAGUAAUAUUCAAAGGGAUGAAGAAGAUAUUAUCUGUUGGAUGCCAACAAAAGGCAAGCUUUUUGAAGUGAAAUCCUUCUAUAGAGUGCUGCGUGGUGUGGGUGUAGUUAAUUUCCCAUGGAAGAGUUUGCAAGGUAAAAGCCCCUUUGAAAGUAGCUUUUUUUGUUUGGUCUGCUGCUUUAGGGAAGAUUUACGAAGGCAAGGCAUUAUUGUAGUAGAUUGAUGUUGCAUGAGUAAGCAAGAAGGGGAGUCAGUUGAUCAUUUAUCGUUUACUCUAUGGCCAGAGAACUUUGGACAUUAGUCCUUUCAAUGUUUGGGGUUAAUUGGGCUAUGCCUAAGAGAGUGGACUUGGCUUGUUGGAAGGGUCGGUCUACCAUUGGAAUGGAUGCAUUUGGAAUGCAAUCCCUCUGGAAGGUAAGGAAUUUCCGGACAUUUGAAGGAAUUGAGCGACCUAUGAUGGUGAUGAAGCUGGUUUUCUUACACACUUUAUAUGAGUGGAUGGCUACUUUGAGUGGUCAUUCCUUUACUAGUUUACUAAAUCUUGUACUUUUUGUAAUCUUGUUACACUCCGUGUACUAUUUGUUGUUUCUUUUCGUUUCUUGAUUAAUAAAUUUUCCUUAUAACAAAAUAUAAUCAAUUUUUGCAUUCUCAUAAAAGGGAUGCAUUUUUCGUUUA